GACGAACGCUGGCGGCGUGCCUAAUACAUGCAAGUUGAGCGCUGAAGGUUGGUACUUGUACCAACUGGAUGAGCAGCGAACGGGUGAGUAACGCGUGGGGAAUCUGCCUUUGAGCGGGGGACAACAUUUGGAAACGAAUGCUAAUACCGCAUAAAAACUUUAAACACAAGUUUUAAGUUUGAAAGAUGCAAUUGCAUCACUUAAAGAUGAUCCCGCGUUGUAUUAGCUAGUUGGUGAGGUAAAGGCACACCAAGGCGAUGAUACAUAGCCGACCUGAGAGGGUGAGCGGCCACAUUGGGACUGGGACACGGCCCAAACUCCUACGGGAGGGAGCAGUAGGGAAUCUUCGGCAAUGGACGAAAGUCUGACCGAGCAACGCCGCGUGAGUGAAGAAGAUUUUCGGAUCGUAAAACUCUGUUGGUAGAGAAGAACGUUGGUGAGAGUGGAAAGCUCAUCAAGUGACGGUAACUACCCAGAAAGGGACGGCUAACUACGUG
rnacentral:rRNA from 1 species